CUACGGGAUGCUGCAGUGGGGAAUAUUGCACAAUGGGCGCAAGCCUGAUGCAGCCAUGCCGCGUGUAUGAAGAAGGCCUUCGGGUUGUAAAGUACUUUCAGCGGGGAGGAAGGGAGUAAAGUUAAUACCUUUGCUCAUUGACGUUACCCGCAGAAGAAGCACCGGCUAACUCCGUGCCAGCAGCCAGCGGUAAUACGGAGGGUGCAAGCGUUAAUCGGAAUUACUGGGCGUAAAGCGCACGCAGGCGGUUUGUUAAGUCAGAUGUGAAAUCCCCGGGCUCAACCUGGGAACUGCAUCUGAUACUGGGAAGCUUGAGUCUCGUAGAGGGGGGUAGAAUUCCAGGUGUAGCGGUGAAAUGCGUAGAGAUCUGGAGGAAUACCGGUGGCGAAGGCGGCCCCCUGGACGAAGACUGACGCUCAGGUGCGAAAGCGUGGGGAGCAAACAGGAUUAGAUACCCUUGUAGUC
rnacentral:rRNA from 1 species